rnacentral:rRNA from 1 species
GACGAACGCUGGCGGCGUGCCUAAUACAUGCAAGUCGAGCGCAGGAAGCCGUCUGAACCCUUCGGGGGGACGACGGUGGAAUGAGCGGCGGACGGGUGAGUAACACGUAAAGAACCUGCCCAUAGGUCUGGGAUAACCACGAGAAAUCGGGGCUAGUACCGGAUGUGUCAUCGGACCGCAUGGUCCGAUGAUGAAAGGCGCUCCGGCGUCGCCCAUGGAUGGCUUUGCGGUGCAUUAGCUAGUUGGUGAGGUAACGGCCCACCAAGGCGACGAUGCAUAGCCGACCUGAGAGGGUGAUCGGCCACACUGGGACUGAGACACGGCCCAGACUCCUACGGGAGGCAGCAGUAGGGAAUCUUCCACAAUGGACGAAAGUCUGAUGGAGCAACGCCGCGUGAACGAUGAAGGCUUUCGGGUCGUAAAGUUCUGUUGUAAGGGAAGAACAAGUGCCGCAGGCAAUGGCGGCACCUUGACGGUACCUUGCGAGAAAGCCACGGCUAACUACGUGCCAGCAGCCGCGGUAA